AGCAGUGGCCCUGGUGGGAGUUUUCCGUGCAAGCUGUUUGUUUCGGCAGAUGAACAGUUUACUGUUUAGCUCCGUCAUGUCACCUGCUGAAGUACUGGAACCGGCACCCUUCUCAAUAGAACAGCUUGUAUAGGGAACAUUUCCAAAGCCAUCAUCAAACAAAAGGGGAAGCUAGCUAUGAACUACACGGAAGAUAAAAGUCACACAGUAUGCGUGAGUGAAGAAAAUAAGAAUAGUAAGCAAUAGCUGGCACAGUGACAUUUGUCUGAGAUAGGAUAGACAGUAAAUCCCAUUAAGAAAGCGAACAGAGGAAAAUAAUGUAACAAAGCAUCAAACUGUGAGUCCUUUUUGGCUUAUCCUGAAGAGCAUCAAACAAAGCUCUGUGCACAGUUUGCAAGAACUGUUUUUUUUCUUUUAAAUCUCAGCACCUUUCCUGAGGAAAUGUAUUUUCAAUUAAUAACUCUCCACCUCAUUGCCGUGACUUGUGUGAGGUGCUUUUCUGCAGAAAGUGGUUAGAUCGCUGGUGUACACUCAAAAACUAUUAGCAAAGCUGCCCCAAAGUGCAGGGCACAGCUUGAUCAGCUAAUUGGACUUUGAGAACACUUAGGAAUUAAUGGACAACCAGGGAGAUCACAGGGAUUGUUGGCAUCAAGUGUGGUUUUCUAGGACAAAGUCUGACCAAGUGGAAUCAGGGCCUGUGUACAAACACUUCAGCUCCCUCCAGCAACAGAGAACCUUGUGAAUUUUGCUUGAAAUUUAUUAUCAGCUUAUGAUACCCUACCAGUUGGUUGGUGAGGACAAGAAAGACUUGUCAGUCACCAGCAACUCCUGCAGCCAAGCUGGUGCCAAAUGUUUUGCUCUGCUUUCCUUUGGACCCCAUCAGCAAGGCCAAGAAAAGGGCUUUGCCAUCUAGGCAGCCCAGAACCUCCAUACACCCUGAAGUGUAGGUGAGUUCCCAUGAGGCAAGACACAGUGAUAACAGCAAGAAACUUUACUGAACUACAGAACUGGACAACAAGGGCAAAGCAACUGCUUAUAUACAUUUUUUAAGGCCUGGGCCACUCCACUCCCAACAUGAUUAGCUGUCUAAACUUCCAAGCUGCGAAUCAUGACUCGGAGCUUAAUGGCCAAUGGCAGAGGCCCAAAUCCUGAAAUAUUCUGUGAUUGGAUAUCAUGUAUCGAAUCAGAACACAGGGGCUCAGAAUCCUUAGUCCAGACUCAAGCUCAGGCAAACAUAGGCCACUGAAUACAUAACACACAUUGCCCAGGGCUUCACCGGUGGAGGAAGAGGAGUGCGGGGGGAGCAAACCGCCCCCGGCAGCGUGAUCCCGGUGGGGUGCCAUCACGGCUGCCCCCCCACCCACACUGGGCGCCACGCCCCUGCAGGGUGUAUGAAAGUGUGAUGGGGGGAAUCUCAUUGUUUUCAGGAGGGGUGGAGAAUUAAACAAAUUUUCAGGACUGGAGGAACUUAGCAGUAAAGGUGGGCCCACCAUGUUUGAUUUCACAUUUCUUAAUAUAAAUUUUUCUGGCCUAUUGAAACAGAUGGAAACAGCAGCUGUCAGUGGUCAGCCAGUCUGCCAUGUCCUCCCAUAAUGCUACCUUUGAACAACACUACAACAUGAUGCAGUUGCAUGACAGAUGCAUUAUGGGAGAAAAAGAUGGAGGCCCCCACUGGCCUGCCGUUGCAGUCAGAAUUAUUUCAGUUUUUAAGUGUAAAAGCAGAUGCUGCAUUCCAGGCUUUACUGAUAACAUCCUCGCCCCCCAAAAAUGUAUGCAGUUUCACAUGCCCCUCCAUGUCACCAAAGAAUGUCACCCCACUUUGGUGGCAUGGUGCUGUAAAAGUCAAAGAACAUUUUUCACCCAACACUAAUAUUUUUAUUUGUAAGCUUCCUGAAGCAAUGUGAUCGAGCAAGGGAUGGCUGAUUAGUUCCCCAAUAGUUACUGACAAGGCCAAGAACCAGCACUAAGACUCUAUAAGCUUUGUGUGGAAUUCACCUAAUGCACUCCAUCAACAGAGGCCAUGCACAAGGACUUCCACUGCACAAUGAGUCUUUCUUCCAUUCUCUCCUCCCACAGCAGCGUACUUCUUGCUGUUCUACUUACAGGUCAAGAAUAAUUUGUUUUAAAAGUCUUCUGACUGUUGGUUCACUGAGCCUGCUGCUAUUUUGUAGUCCGAUCUUUUUUAUUUUUAAAAAAGUUUCAUUGACUUAAUGCAUUUGGAUUUAGUUUUACUGUACAUCACUUUGCAUUGUUCUUUUCUCUUCAGUGCAACAUACAAGUUUAAUAUAUAAACCAUACAUAGCACUUUGCUAGCAGAAGCAGAAAUCAAAACACCACCCAAACAGCUAUCUGAAAAACUGCCACAUAAUCUCUUAACUAAAGAAGAAUUAGCAAUUUUUUUCCUUUAACUUUAACCUGUGCAUGUGAGAAAGAACAUCAGCAGCCCCCAAGGUACAGCCAUAAUUUUUAUUAUUAUGAAAGGAUUGAAUCUCUAAAACCCACGGUUUGAAAAGAAUGCAUCUAAUCCUAAAUCAUAUCCCUUCUAUCUUAAGAUAAAAUGCCUUUCAUACUAGGCGACUCUUGUAUGAAACACAUUUUUUAAAAAUGUAAGCCUCAAGUACACAAUCAUUUUUCUUUUAAUAUCGGAUAUUAAACACAAAUCUUGCAGCUAAGCUGUCAGAACUUCUGGACACACAGUCAAGGAAACUCGAGCCUAGUCACUGCUUGGGUCAUCUAUUUCAUCUCUACAAGUAUAAAACAAGGCACUGCUGCUUGCCAUGAGAUGCAUUAAUGUCACAUCCAAAGUGUUCCAAUGUCAAACUAUUUUAAUAUCUCAAGGGUGAGAUCUAGCUAAGUCAGGGUUGGGGAACUAGAUCCAGAGGGUGAGCCAGAUUCUUCUCUCCACUCCUUCACCCACUGUGUGCCAAAUUUGACAGGUAAAUGAGAACACCCACUUGUCAUAGUCACCUGACAUCAAAAUGACACCGAGCAACCUGUUUUUGCCAGUGCAAUUGAAUACCAAACUGUGUGGGCAAAAGAACAGCACUGUAUAAGCACCAAUGAUUGUUUGCUACGUGAGAGUAAACUCAAUCGGAGGAAUUUAACAUCAUGCCCUUCUGAUUGUUCCACCAGCACAAGCUAAUUGUCCCCCUCUCCUCCCCCAAUGUUCUGGAGGUUCUCCUGACCCUUCAGAGCAGACAAGGGGGAGACACAGCAGUGUGUGAGGGGGACAGCCCCAUGGGACUAGUGGGAGCCGCCACGCAGGCUCCCACCAGCAUGCUGGGUUAGCUGAACCAAGGCCACGGAAACUGAAGCUACUUAAAUCAAUUUACUUCAGGGGGCCCAUUCCGAGUAAGCUUAAAAUUGUCUACCACCCCAGUUUCUUGGGGAAACAAUAAUGGUGUUUUAUUUGUAAUCUGAGUAACCAAGAACAAAGGAUUUGAUUUCCUCAUCACACCCACAAACCCAGUGCAGCGCUUUCUCCUUUGUCCCAUUUUCUUGUAUAUAAUAGUAUUGUGAAGUCUUGCCACCCUUUCUGAUGUCUGACAUGAGUAACAGAUUAUGCAUCUCAAUAAGGUCACGCUACUGAUAGAGUAAGACAAGUUACUUUUCCCCCCUCUUUCUUUUCUCUUUCCCCCCUUUUGCUCCUUCUAAUUAAAAUUCCAGGGUCUGAAUAACUUAUCACGCCUAGAGACAGAGAUAAAUGGAUGAAUAGAUGGAAAGAUCCAUAUACCACAGGCUUGGAAUAACACUCCACGCUAGCAGACAAGAGAAGGUGGAAUUAAUAACUGUUCUGUGAAUGAUAACAAUUCUAAAAUGCCAGUAGUGCUAUGCCGCUGUACGCAAGCACUCUCUUUUGUUUGUGCAUCUGUGAUUCAGGAGAGAAAAGUUCGUUUUAAAUUCUACUCAAGGAGACAUUUUUAAAGUUUGUUCAAAAGAGCUUAUGGAAUGCUAAACAGUUCAUCUUUGUAUAGUCAAAGUCACUGCAGCAUUAGGAUGGGGACGCAGAUGCACUCUCCAAGCUAAUGUGUCUUUUGCACCACUACAAAAAAACAAGGGUUACCUUCCCUUUAAAAUGGAGGCUGGUGGUUCACUAGGGCAAAAGGGGCACUGCCCCUCCAUGCUCAGGCUGCCCUGAGCCAACCCCACUCCACUUGCCUCCUUACUUGCAACCAGUCCUGGGUGUAGCAUUAGCUGUUAUCUUCCUUCUUAGUCUCAGGGUUGCCUUUGUAGAAUUCACCAGAGAAGCGCAUGGAGACAGAGCCCAUUAGUUCCGCCUGCCAUUGGCUGCGUACAGCCAGUAGGUGCACUGUUGGCUCCCUUGCUUCCACCCUACAACAAGCCUCCAUUGCCUUCUUCUGUUAACUCUGGGCAACAGGUAAGAACCUUUUAUUUGCAUAAGGGUACAUUUCAGCCACACACACACACACAAAGUCAGAAUUUCCACCACCACCUCUCAAUCUAGGCAACUCAAAGGCAUUGUGCUAGUUUUCUACUCUUACAGCUGUAACAAACUGUGUAUUUAAAUAUGUGGGUUUGUUUCAAAUUUUGCUGCAAGCCACUUUGUGGAGGCUUUCCUCAAAAAGCAGGGCAGAAAUCCCUUAAAUAAAUAAAUAACCACAGAUCAUGGACAUGUUUCAGCAAGGCAAAAGCACUCAGUGAAGUACAUGCCAAGGCAGCAUCUGAGGACCAGAGAAUGAGGCCUGGAGAGUUUCAUUCUGGCCCCCAACCUGAGGUUCUUCACCACUGUGGAACAAGUUCAGGAGCACUUAAGCCCGCUGAAAUCAAUAGGCUUAAGCAUACCUCUGUUCACUUGUGUACUUUAAUGCUCCCUGACGGCAACAUGAGAAGUACAGAAAGAGCAGAAAUACAAGCUUCCAGCAGAAAGAACAUGGUGUGCUUGUUGUUUCUUAUGGAACGCAUCUCAGCAAAUAUUUUUUCACUGCAACCAGCCUUCUAACUAAACUGCCUACAUGCUUCUGUAUUUGACUAAGCACUUCCUUAUUCCACAAAAUAAACACUCAUUUAAUGGAUGUGUGUACUGGAGCAUUCCAAGACUUAAUGUGGCUUGUGAGUUCAAGCAUGCCUUUGUAGCCUUUUUGCCUGCUGCAAAACUUGUACUUCCAACAACAGGAAAGAUCAUUGGGGAAAAUCACUAGAAUUCAUUUCCUUCUUUCUUGUGUCAUGCCUUCAAGUUUCAUUUUUACCAACUUGCCUGGGCAAGAUUCUGAUGUAAGAAAACAACAUAGUGUUAUGAGUUUUGGGGGGAUUGGCUGAAUGCUAGGACCCCCCUUCUAACUCGUGGAAUAGCCAGGCUAGCUUCCUUGUGAGGUAAGCUCUGUGCGAGAUGGCGUGGGUGGCGCCCUUCCUUCCGCUCCCAACUGCAUGCACUAUCAAACAAUAUCAAGCAAUAUCAAAAAGGCAAUGCAUAAUUUAAACAGAAUGGCUCAUUGAAACCUUUAACCCUUCUGAAAGGCCUGGGGAAAUUAAACCUCCCCAUCUUUCCUUGGAAACAUUUAAUAAAUUAAUAAUAAUAAUAAUAAUAAUAAUUUUUAUUUAUACCCCGCCCUCCCCAGCCAAGGCCGGGCUCAGGGCGGCUAACAAGCAAUAAUAAAAACAAGUUGAAUGAUUACAACUUAAAAACAAAAUUAAAAUACAACAUUAAAAUAUUGAAACAUUAAAAUAUUAAAAUGUAGCCUCAUCGCAGGAGGAGAAAGGAAAAGAAAAAAGAAAUAGAGGGAGGGAAUCAAAUUGGCUCCAAGCCAAAGGCCAGGCGGAACAACUCUGUCUUACAGGCCCUGCAGAAAGAAAUCAGAUCCUGCAGGGCCCUGGUCUCAUGAGGCAGAGCAUUCCACCAGGCCGGAGCCAGGGUUGAAAAGGCCCUGGCUCUGGUUGAAGCCAAUCUAACUUCCUUAGGGCCCAGGACCACUAGGGUGUUGCUAUUUAUGGACCUUGAGGCUCUCCAUGGGGCAUACCGGGAGAGGCGAUCCCGUAGGUACGAGGCUCCUAGGCCGUGAAGGGCUUUAAAGGUCAAAAGCAGCACCUUAAAUCUGACCCUGUACUCCACCGGGAGCCAGUGCAGCUGGAAAAGCACUGGGUGAAUAUGCUCAAUUAAGCAUAUCUCUUAAAUCAAUUAAGAGAUGCUAUUUAAGAGGUCUCUAGAAAGCUAUUCAUGACUAUUCCCCCAGCCAAAAUCAACAGGAAGCAAAGAAAUAUAAAACAUGUAAUCAAAGGAGGCAAGAGGGUCUGUAAAGCCUCACCUGCACUUUACCUGUCCACACUGGACACUGCAUUUAAUUGGGAGGGAAUUGCCAUGAAUCAGGUCUAAGAAAGCAUAGAGUGGCAUCCAGCUAAAUAACUGUACAAGCGGCAUGACAUCUGCUUGUGUAACAGGAAUUUUCCUCCCUCUCCUCCACCCGCAUGCACUGCUCACCAUCCCCACAUCUGCUUUGGGAGUUGGGAGAAGCUCUAGCACAGAAUUGCACCAGUUGAAAUCACCCUCUUGCCCAAGUUUACUUAUUGUUAUUUGGGAUUGCCAAGUCCUCACCCACAGAUGGUACCUAAAUCCUGACAUUGUCUCAGGCACUCAAUAAGAUUGCAAUGCUUACACCUAAUGGUGUAUCCUUCUAUCUGCCGCCUUGCCUGCUCAUCCGUGCCUUCCCCCAAGCCUUCUAUAGCUGGCAAAGGUAGAUGAAGGAGGGAGGAUCAUGUUAUAUUAAAGUUAAGAACAACCUGGAUAGCUCGGUUGGUUAAUAUAUUAACUAAAAUUAAAGCUAACUCUUAAGUCAUUAAUGUUCAAACCUGAAGUUGUACCUUUGCUUUAAUAAAUGGAAUUUACUGUAUAAUAAAAACUGAGCCCAUAUAGUUGCAAAAAUAUAUUUGCUGUUCUUUUUUUCUUGUAAGUUUCAUAGAAAACCAAUGUUCAGCAUGCAUAACCAUUCUACAAAUGGCUCCAUUGAUUUCAUUUUGAUUUCCACGAAUCCCUGCAGAAAUGCUCUCUGAAUAAUUUGAACUCGGUUUCAUGUGAGACUUUUAAAUUAUGCUGGCAACAUCCGACAGACUGCACAACAUGAACCAGCUUACAUCACUCUGAUGCUUGAAGGAUGAUUGCACUGUGUAUAUCUUUGCAAUCACUCGGUACAAGACAAAAUGUUCUAAACACCAAGCAUAUUCUUCCGCAGGAUUAUCUUUAUCCCCAACUCAUUUUCUUCCUCCUCCUACGACCCUUGCAGCCCAAGACAUCAAUUCUGAAGCUCUGCAUUAUGCAUACACAGAAGUAACAUUUCAUGGGGAACAUCUAAAAUUACAGCUUUCCAAAUGGCCAAUGGGAUGUUGCAUUCCUCAGGGAUGCGGUACUCAUUCAGAGAAAUUGAGGUCUCUUCCAAUAAGACACCACCAAAGGCAGGUCAGUACUUAUGCAGAGGUUCAGCCUUAUUAAACUCCAGUCCAUGAACUGCUGGUAGUCCACAAGCUCCAUGCUGGUGGUCCACAGAAAGGUUGAGGAGCAGUGAAGAAUAUCUAUACUCAACUCUGCAUCUUGAUUUCUACUCCCCCUAACGAUGGGGAUCAGGGCCAUUUGAUUAUUGGACAGGCUAAUAAGGCCCAGGUUAGGGCCCAUAAUUUUCAUAAUACAGCAGAUAAAGGGUCUCCUCUCAAUGGCAUAGCCUGGGGACUGCUUUUCAUUAUCAAUAGUUUUAACAAUGAUGAUGGUACCAAAUGAUUUUAUUUUAUUUUUUAAUGCAAGUUAUAUAUGCUCAGCUCUAUAGAACAAAAAAACAACAAUUUUUAAAGUGGUCAGCUGAGAUUCCCAGCCAUUUCCAAGCAGUUUGCGUUUUUUUAAAAGAAUGUUUCAGAAAUUCUGGAAUAAGUCACUCAAGACUGAACACAGGGAUGCCGAGGGCUGCAGUUAGAAAUGUGGUAUGCAGGGAACUUAUUGGCCAGGUGCCUCUUUCUCUGCCUCUGAUGUGCUAGAUUUUUAUGGACAGGAAAUUUCUUUUCCCUGGGAAGGCACAAUCCAUUGUAGCACCUUAGUCACUUCCUUCUCGUGCAUUUGUGCACCAGACAAUAGUUAUUCCAAACAUAUAAUGUGUUGAAGUGAACAAAACAAACAACCUUUUCCCAAACAUUCUGUAAAUUUAUACCCAACAGUAGUUUGAAGGAAAACAGGUAUUUUUGCCAAUCUUAUUUGGUGCAAUCUUCACCCCUGCAGUCCCCACAACCCAGGAUGCACUGAAUUUUCUGCAGAAAAUGAUAUAUUGUAAUGAGUCUCGUUUUGCAGGCUACAUAGAUUAUGAAAACUGUGAUCAUGCAAGCUACUCCUCUAUAAGACUUUUCACCCUACAUUUUACUGUGUGUAAUGAUGUCUCAUUGUGAUACUGCUUGAGGUUUUAUUUAUUUUUUAAUGCAUUCUGAAAAAAAUCAGUUCGGAGAGUUUUCUGUUUCUCCGUGCACCACAGAAUGCACCACUGAUCAGCCUAUUAUGGAAGUAAUGUUGCAUUUUUAUAUCAAUUAGAAGAAAUAAGGAGAAAUGAAAACAUGAUUGAUUCUUUAUUAUGGAGAAGAAAACAAUUUGCGUUGAAAGCUGCUCGGGGUGUAAGAAGGCAUUUUUCAUACACAAAGGCUACAAAGAUUGAUCCUUUGAAGCAGGUUAAGACAUGGCUGCCUUUUGAUACUUGGCAUCAUUCAAGAUGAAGCUCUGGGGGAGAAAAGGCACAAAUCUCUCCACUCAGCUGUCCAUUCAGGAAAUAGCAGCAAAAAUGCUGUGAUGCUUAUGGAAUAUACAGGAAUUGUCCUCUACUGACUAGGAUUAUGCUUUGGAUUGUUUUGACAACCCAGUUGAGCCUCUGCUACAUUCCUUGUUUUCUCCCUUAUCUACCUAAAAUACAGAAGUACCUCGUGUUAUGUACCAUCUCCCUUAUGAAUGCUGUGGGUUACGCACUCCGCUAACCCGGAAGUAGAUGCCCCUUGUUGCGACCUUUGCCGUGGGAUGCGAGCGGAAGUCGUACUCUGGCGGCGCGGCAGCAGCGGGAGGCGCCAUUAGAGAAAGUGCGCCUCAUGUUACAAGCAGUUUCCUGUUACGAACGGACCUCCGGAAUGGAUUAAGUACGUUACACGAGGUACCACUGUGUAUAUCUUAAGUUUUGUAUGACAACAAUUACAUUAUUAAAAUUAUUAUUAAACAUUAAGUUACAAGGUUGUAUGAAAAGAGUUAACAGGUUGCACACUGGGAAAGGUAAAAAGUAAGAAGGUAAAGGACCCCUGGACAGUUACGUUCAGUCAAAGGUAACUCUGGGGUUGCAGCGCUCAUCUCCCUUUCAGGCUGAGGGAGCUGGCGUUUGUCCACAGACAGCUUUCUGGGUCAUGUGGCCAGCAUUACACUUCUGGCACAACAGAACACCGUGAUGGAUACCAGAGUGCACAGAAAUGGCGUUUACCUUCCUGUCACAGCUGUACCUAUUUAUCUACUUGCACUGGUGUGCUUUUGAACUGCUAGGUUGGCAAGGGCUGAGACAGAGCAACGGGAGCUUACUCCGUUGUGGGGAUUCGAAAUGCUGACCUUCUGAUCAGCAAACCCAAGAGGCUCAGUGGUUUAGACCACAGCGCCACCUGCAUCCCUUACACUCGGAAAGGAAACAGUUACAGAAGGAUGGUCUCAUCAGAUGAAAAUUGUAACUAUUAAUGUGAAAACUGUGAAGGCCUCCCUCAACACUGAUAUUGCCUCCAAGGGAUACAGACUUUUUAUUGCAUGAUUCAUAUUAUAACUAUCAUUAUAAGAUUUUCUAAAGAUAUAUUAAGCAAAAGAAAUAAAGAAUGAAAAACUCAAAGUAGCCACUAGUUCUGAUAGCUGAAGGAAGCCUCCGUGUUCAGAGACAGUGCAUAUCGAAGAACUCCGUGCUGGGAACCAACAAAGAGGACCAUUACAACCUGCUCAGGAUAUCUAGCUAAUGGUUGCUGGAGGUAGCUGGUAUAGGUGGACCUAGCACAAUCCUUAAAUCCUCAAAUUAAAUGAAGAAUCUGUAGUUCACAAUAAAAUGCAAAGCUGAAGCUUCCCUAAAUCACAGAAUAUUUAUUUCCACAAAUAUAAAUGUUAUGUUUCUUCUGGGCACAGGAAAAAAAGACACCGACCAGCACAGAGAAGUUGGAGCAGCACACCUACCAGCAAUGGAUUUGGAAGGAAGGAAGGAAGGAAGGAAGGAAGGAAGGAAGGAAGGAAGAUACCCUUCUUUGGUAAAGGUUUAGGAUUUGAUGGUAGAAAGAGAAUGAAGAAAGUGUUUGUGAGUUAAGAUUGAUGCAUCUGUCCAUUUCAGUUUCCUCUCAGAUUCUCAUUGUCCCAGUCUUAGGUUCAAGUUUGC
rnacentral:lncRNA from 1 species